CUCCAUUAAAGAAUGAUAUAACUAGAGGAGAGGAAGGCCUUCCUUCACUAGGGAAUAAAAAGAAGAGAGGGAGGUCUCCCUCCAGAAGGAAGGAACCCAAUGAAGAAAGGGAGACUCUCUCCAAAAACGAACAUAAAGAGGAGAGGGAGGUCUCCCUCAAAAAAGGAAAUAUUAAGAGGAGAGGGAGGUCUCCCUCAAAAAAGGAAAUAUUAAGAGGAGAGGGAGAUCUCCCUCAAAAAAGGAAAUAUUAAGAGGAGAGGGAGAUCUCCCUCAAAAAAGGAAAUAUUAAGAGGAGAGAGAGAUCUCCCUCAAAAAAGGAAAUAUUAAGAGGAGAGGGAGAUCUCCCUCAAAAAAGGAAAUAUUAAGAGGAGAGGGAGAUCUCCCUCAAAAAAGGAAAUAUUAAGAGGAGAGGGAGAUCUCCCUCAAAAAAGGAAAUAUUAAGAGGAGAGGGAGAUCUCCCUCAAAAAAGGAAAUAUUAAGAGGAGAGAGAGAUCUCCCUCAAAAAAGGAAAUAUAAAGAGGAGAGGGAGGUCUCCCUCAAAAAAGGAAAUAUAAAGAGGAGAGGGAGGUCUCCCUCAAAAAAGGAAAUAUAAAGAGGAGAGGGAGGUCUCCCUCAAAAAAGGAAAUAUAAAGAGGAG